CCUACGGGAGACAGCAGUGAUGAAUAUUGGUCAAUGGACGAGCGUCUGAACCAGCCAAGUAGCGUGAAGGAUGACUGCCCUAUGGGUUGUAAACUUCUUUUAUAAAGGAAUAAAACGAGGCCCGUAUGCCUUUUUGCAUGUACUUUAUGCAUAAGGAUCGGCUAACUCCGUGCCAGCCGCCGCGGUACUACGGAGGAUCCGAGCGUUAUCCGGAUUGAUCUGGUUUAAAGGGAACGUAGAUGGGUUGUUAAGUCAGUUGUGAAAGUUUGCGGCUCAACCGUAAAAUUGCAAUUGAUACUGGCAGUCUUGAGUACAGUUGAGGUAGGCAGAAGUCGUGGUGUAGCGGUGAAAUGCUUAGAUAUCACGAAGAACCCCGAUUGCGAAGGCAGCUUACUAAACUGUGACUGACAUUGAUGCGCGAAAGUGUGGGUAUCAAACAGGAUUAGAUACCCCAGUAGUC
rnacentral:rRNA from 1 species